rfam:Gilliamella sp. R-53248 genome assembly, contig: Ga0061081_102
UCAUCAUCACCAUCAUUCCUGAAUAGUCUUCGGGCGAUUGGUGCUGGAAGACAUUGAUCUUCCGGUGAUAUCGCAAAAGCAAGCAGAGAACCCUCGGAAGAUCAAACUUCCGAGGGUUUUUUGUU